UUGACAGCAACGUCUGUAACCGCCUGGUAGUGGGCCAUUCAGAGUCGCACGAAGUUUGUUAUGGAGAGUAGUGGCAUCAGGGGUCAUUCAGGGCCACGUGGAGUUUGUUACGGAGAGUGGAGUGGUGUCCGUUGUCGUGACUUGCCAGAGAGUGGUGGAGCCACGUGAAUUUUAUUACAGAGAGUGGAGUAGGGUAGUGGCCAUUAUCGUGACUUGUCGGAGAGUUCGGAUCUGUCGGCUGGAGCUCGGUUGGGAUGUCUGAUGAAGCAGAAUGGCUCUCUGUCCCAUUGAUCUAGGAGAAGC
rnacentral:lncRNA from 1 species